CCCAUGCAUGUUUUUGAAGAUUAUUAUCUGAAAAAUGGACUGCUCAGUAAUACUCACUUUAUUUUAUGUGCACCGCAGAUAACUACGUUAAAGUGUAGA
rnacentral:rRNA from 1 species